UGGGCGUCUCGACAGUUGGCGACGGUGGUCCGGCGUUGUUGUGCGCUGUUUGCGAGCUCUCAUGGCCUUUAGCUGAACAGUUUAGCUGGUGGUAACAGCCCUAAAUCUGUGGAGUCGCCUGGUCGGCGUUGUGUAUGUGCACGCGACAUUGCUCCUGGUCCGUGUGAGCAAGCCAUUUGCCGGGCUGGCUGUCUCGCUCUUGCCUGUGGGCUGACUAUGUGUGCGCUGUGGAACCGUGUGGUGAUCCGCUGCACUGCUGCCUUGGCGGAGGUUUGAACGGUGGCUUGGUCCGUCUGCCUCGUGUCUUGGCUUUGGAUUUCUCUCUCUCGCCCUGUGGGAUUGCUCCCUGCCUGGUUGGCCCAGUUCCGGCUCUGUCUUGGCUCUAAGCGGGCUUGCCGGUUUUAGUAUUUCUUUGCUGUUUGGGUCUAAUUAUAGUAUAUAUAAACAGUUGGCAUUUUG